UGCAGAGUUUAGGAUAUGUGCACUGGGCGUUUCCCUCUCCCCAUUUUGUGCCUCCUGUCUCCGGUGCCAGUCUGCAGUGGUGCAAUUUGCUGGCGGACCGCAGAGCAGACGUCUUCUAGAGAUGUCCGAGUGGUUACUCACUGCAAGAACUGGUCAGAUACUUCUGAGAGCUGAGCACGGAACAGGUUCCUCACAUGGACAGAAAUUCCGCACAACUUCCCAUCCAUGUUGGAAUCCCUUCUACAGAACCCCAGCUCCUAGUUGAAAACUUCUGGCAUCAAAAUGCCUUUUCUUCACAAGCAACCCAUUCUACUUUCUGUCACCUCUCAAGAACUUCAAGUCAGGAGGAGUCAUCUCCAAGCAUCCACACCUGAGGGGCUUCCUCUUCUCCAGACCUGAUGGAGAUGCUGAAGUUCUGGAUCUGAAGCGUAAGCCUGAUAACGUCACAGAUGAGACUGUGGGGGUUCUGAGGAUGACUGUAUUCAAAUGUGUGAGGAACAUGAUUCUUUGAAGUGCUAGAGGGCAGCCCGUGGUAGUUAGUCUUCAAAGCUAGCCCCCCAGUGAACCACCUCUCCUAGUAUUCAUGAUCGUGUGCUGUCCUCUUUCUGGAAUCUGGGCUGUUCCUGUGACUUUGGCUAAUAGAAAGAAAGCAGUGACAGUGAUGUCAUGUGACUUCUGAGGAUAGGUCAUAGGGAGCCUUUUGGCUUCCACCUGGGUUUCUUAGAAUGCUCGGUCUGGAGCAAGCCAGCCAUCAUGUAAGCAGUCUGAUUCCUUUGAGACUCAGAUGCUAUGAGGAGGCUAAGCUAGCUGUGUGGAAAGUUUACAGGAGAAAGCAAUACAGUCUGUCAGACUCUACCUGCUCUGGUCAUCCCAGCUGAGAUCAGAUAUGAGAGUCAAGAUGCUGCCAUCUUGGAUGUACAGCCCAGCUGAACCUGCAUCUGACUCUUGACCUGCAACCAUGUGAGAGCCCCCUCCCCCUGGCCGCCAAGGGACCACUGAGCCAGUCAAUCCACAAAACUGAGAGAUAAAAAUAUUUUAAGCCACUGGUAACUGAAGCAGUAAAAAAAAAAAAAAAAAUGUGUAUUUUAAUUUAAAAAUGCAAAUUAGGGGUGCCUGGGUGGCCCAGUCAGUUGAGCAUCCGACUUUGGCUCAGGUCAUGAUCUCAUGGUUUGAUGAGUUCAAGCCCCACAUCGGGCUCUGUGCUGACAGAUCAGAGCCUGGAGCCUGCUUUGGAUCCUGUGUCUCCCUCUCUCUCUCUGCCCCUCCCCCACUCGUGCUCUGUCUCUCUCUCUCUCAAAAUUAAUAAACAUUAAAAAAUGUAAAAAAAAAUUAUAAAAGAGCAAAACAUUGCAUUUCAUACAACUUUUUAGCAAGUUAUUUUUCUUUCAGAUAUUCAAAAUUAUCUAUUAAAAUUAAAAGGCGAAUGUAACCAAUGGUAAAACUAAUGCAUUUUAUCUAAUACAAAAAUUUAAGUAAAAUAUUUAAGUAAAGCUGAA